rnacentral:rRNA from 1 species
UACGUAGGGUGCGAGCGUUAAUCGGAAUUACUGGGCGUAAAGCGUGCGCAGGCGGUUCGACCAGUCCGAUGUGAAAGCCCCGGGCUCAACCUGGGAAUGGCAUUGGAAACUGGCGAGCUUGAGUGUGGCAGAGGGGGGUGGAAUUCCGCGUGUAGCAGUGAAAUGCGUAGAGAUGUGGAAGAACACCGAUGGCGAAGGCAGCCCCCUGGGUCAACACUGACGCUCAUGCACGAAAGCGUGGGGAGCAAACAGG